rnacentral:lncRNA from 1 species
AAAGAUAGUGAGUAGUUUUUUUUUCUUGUUGAAAAUUGAAGUUGUUAUGGAAGGAGGGAGAUGGAUCCUACACGAAAAAGAGAGAGACAAGUGGAAAAGGUGGGCGGCUGUGCUUUUGUGAUUUUUUUUUUUUGUAAUAAGCAAACAUUGACUAUAUAUACAUACUACACUAGGGUUUUAAUAUUUAAAUGAAUACCAAUGAUAUCCUCAUCUUUUGAAUUUUAUUCUAAACUUUAACCAAUCAAAAUUACAUAUUUUUAUAAAAUAAAACAAAGUAAAAAUAGUGAAAUGAAUCAAAACUAGUAAUGAAAUAAAAUUCAAAUAGUUUAAAAAAACAAAUAAAACUUAAAACUUAAAUUUUUUUUUAUGAAUGUUUUUGAUGAAAAAAUAAAAAUAAAAAGGAUAAAAAUAAAAAAUAAAUUGGGUGCGAAAAUGGUCAAAA